rnacentral:lncRNA from 1 species
GUGACAUCAGCCUUGGUUCCACUAGUGGGCCAACCACUUUGAAUGCACCAAGAAGGUAAACAAGAAACUCCAAUAUGGAUGUGUAAGGAAUAUUGUAAAGAGCCUUCCUGUACACUAAAGACUAAUGCACAUGUCAUAUAAGAAGACUAAUGUGAACGAUACGUAAGAAAAGCUGUGUGGAACAGAGAAAAUCUUGCAAGAAGUACUUGCUAACCCAUGGACCUCCAGUGAUUCCAUAUUUCACAAAGGUUACUAGUGUGACUACUAAAUGAAACAGAGCGUGAAUCUGGAUAGCCAUCAGAGAUUUUGUUCAUAAUCAUCGAUUUGAUCAUCCAUGGAUGAAGCUAGGAAGAGGCAAAUCCUGUUCAGGUCUCAGGGAACUGAGAAUUGUCUUCAGUACAUACAAUACAACUUUCCCGGGGCAAAUAUACAUUCAUUUACAAAAUCUGCAGAAAUUUCACUUGCCUUUAUCUUCAGCAAAUAGAAACUUAAGGUCUCAAGGACAUUUGAAAAUAUUACAAAAAGGAACAUAGAAGUU